AAGUCGACGAAGAGGGCGGGGCGGGGGCGGCUUGUGGACUUCCACACUUUUCCUCUCUUCGGGCCAGUCUGGGGAGAGGGUGGCUAGCUGUGGCGGCGGCCAAUUACGUGGCGGACCUGCGGGGCUAAGCUGGCACGUCACUUCCGACUAGUGGAGUUUUUAGCCUUUUAACAUUCAAGGAUUAGAGCUCCCUCUUUGCCCACUAGCAGGGCAUUAGCUGGUGCUGAAGACAGUGGCUGCUUGGCGAGCCUGGAUCUCCAAGUGACCCCCUCAGCAACUCCUGAUGAACAGGUACUGUGUGCAGAAAUGUGAUUGAGAUUCAAGUCAGGGCCUCUCUGCCCUUUUCCCUCCAGAAACAAAACCAAGAUAAUUUAUCCUGAACACGGUGAAAAAAGGAAGGGAGGGAGGAGAAAAAGUCCGGGUCUCACCUGGGAUUCUCUGUCUCCUGCAACAUGAAGGAUUUAGCCUGGGAGGAGGUGGUGAGAACUCUGGGAGAGAAAAAAGAAGGAAAGAAUAGUUUUACCCAUGCUGAAGUUAAUUUAAACCUUCACCUAGAGAAGCAAAAAAAAAAAACCCACACUUUCCCAUUUUGUGCCUCCCUUCCUAGAGUUUUAGCCAAAGGUUUAGCUAAGUAAUUGGUUUUACCAGCGCACUCACUCCUCCUAUCCCAAGUCUGUUUGACUCCCUCCCCAUCAUCCUCCUCACCUCUUUUCAGGCAGGGUGGGGAUAGCAGCAGGAGGAGAUUUUGGGAGCCUGGCAACUCCUGCAAGGACCGCAGGACAGCCCCUCUGUGGGGAUGCGUGGUGCCCCAUCUGCCGCCCUUCUGAAGAAUGCACUGCCUUCACUUUUUACUGUGUUAGAGUCCAUCCAGACUGUUCUAUCCAAAAAAGUUUCUUUUUCCCCCACAGGCAAUCAGGAAAUGAUUCCUUUCCCGACUGCUUCUGUCUAGUGCCUGGGAAUCUUGAGUCAAUCCCUCAGUAAGUCAGUGACUAGGGAAAUCCCUCUCUGAGCCUCCCAGUUCAUGUUGCUUAGGGAACCUGAUAUUUUCGUGAAACCUGCCUACACAUGGGCAGCCCAACAGCAGAACAAAUGGUGGUGACCAAAGUGAACAAAGAAGUAUAGUUGUGCCAGCUUCGUAGUUGCCCAUGUGGACAAGUCAGCAGGAUCAGGACACGAGGAAGAGUAAAUGUGAGACAGUCAAUGUGACUUCUGCGAUAAACAGAUUUUUAAACCCCGAAAUUUUGCAAAAUUUUGGUGAAACCUGAACUUUCUUCGUUGCAUAUACUGGCACUAUCUGUACCAUCAUACAACUGUCUCACAUUAAAGCUAUUUUUCUUGGGCACUGAUGAGUAAGGUUGGUAUAAGUUCCUCAGAUCAACAAAAACCCAUUUUCCUGUAAGUCUUACAUUUAGUAUUUAAGGAACUAAAACUUAAAUACAUUUUGUGAAAUGGUUGACACUUCACUGAUAAUGAUUUAUUGCUUGGAUUAAUAAAUUUUCCAAAAGUUGUCUUAUGUAGAAUAUGGUUUGCAACCAGCAGAACCAUUAAUCUAUACUGCAAUGAUAUGCACUAUGUAUAAUUGUUUAAAAGCCUCUACUUAAUGAUGUAAAAUGCUCUAUUUAAUUACACAUUU
rnacentral:lncRNA from 1 species